rnacentral:misc_RNA from 1 species
AAGUCGUAACAAGGUUUCCGUAGGUGAACCUGCGGAAGGAUCAUUAACGAAACAUGUGGGGCUCUCCCGGCCCUUGCACCGGCGGGGACGCCGUGCUGCGGGGCCGUCAGAGCCCUUUCCACACCCACACUUGUGCACCUUUGGGGCGGUUACGGUGGAGACGCCGGUCGCCCCGCUUUCACACACACUGAAUGUAAAUGGAAUGGUUGGGGACGUAGUGCCCUCUAAAAGUAACAACUUUCAACAACGGAUCUCUUGGCUCUC